AAUGAUAUGUUCUGUGUUCACAGCUAGGUCCUAUUCACUAUAUAGUUCACUUUUUUCUGGGAUUUUCAUUUUGUAGUGGUGUCUGAAAACAUAUCCAGAGCCCUAUUCCAAUCCCGGAUUGGACCCUGCCCAGGAUAAGACAGUUACUGUUACUUAUACAGCUCUCGCUGUGAAGUAGAGGGAUUAGUGAUUUGAACACAGCAAUGGACUGGGAAGGUGAGACACCUUACCUCCUCUGUGUGAGAUGUGCAUGCAGUGGAAGGCUGUCUGCUUCUUCUUGUGCAGGAUGUAUGGAUUCUUCAGCAAGUAGAGGGAUGUUAUGGUGUACCCCCCUACUGCUGGGAGCAGGUAAUACAUGAAACUGGACAUAAUUUCCACAGGCUGUCAAUCCCAAGGAAUCCAGAAAGUAACAAGUCACUACAGGAAAAGAAUUCAGCAGUCAAAGCCAGCCAAGACUGAUUUGUGUUUGGCAUGAAGAAGGUAUUUCCAGAUUACCUGAUUCUGAUUUAUCCUUUGUGUGUCCUCUUGUUGCUUUAUCCUUAUGGGAGGAGAAGGCAGAGAGAGAGAGAGAGAGAGAGAGAGAGAUGGUUUAGACUCCGUUCCCACAGACUUUCCUCACUCUCUUUCACUGCUGACCUGUUUGCUGUCUUUCUGUACACCUUCCUUUUCCCCUGUAUAUCUCCCCUCCUUCUUGUUACCCUCCUGCAUUGAUAGGGUGAUUAAGCUCAGAACUAGUCAAACCGGACAGAACAAGCGAAAAAAAACCACAGUCACUCCUUCUACAUAGACCAUAAAACCUAAAUGUUGCAAUAAUUCUCCUCCUCUCCAGUCAUGCUCUCUCUGGAGGUACGUCUGUGGUUAGUGUAACAUUGUUAGUGGUUAGUCAGUGACUUUCUCUCCUUCUGUUGUCCCUCGUUUCCUGCUAUUGUGAGUGUGUGUGUGUGUGCAUGUAUACAUGCAGGUUUGUAAAAGAAAGAAUGCUGUCAUUGUUCAGGUUUCAUUGCUCGUGUCUGAGUGUUUGUCCAUAUUCAGAUUUGAAUGUGUGAAGUUCAAAUAAAACUGCUAAUAGA